GCAGUCGCCGCGGGAAUACAGAGGGUGCGAGCGUUAAUCGGAUUUACUGGGCGUAAAGCGUGCGUAGGCGGCUUCUUAAGUCGGAUGUGAAAUCCCUGAGCUUAACUUAGGAAUUGCAUUCGAUACUGGGAAGCUAGAGUAUGGGAGAGGAUGGUAGAAUUCCAGGUGUAGCGGUGAAAUGCGUAGAGAUCUGGAGGAAUACCGAUGGCGAAGGCAGCCAUCUGGCCUAAUACUGACGCUGAGGUACGAAAGCAUGGGGAGCAAACAGGAUUAGAGACCCGUGUAGUCCCUGUCUCUUAUAC
rnacentral:rRNA from 1 species